rnacentral:rRNA from 1 species
AGCUCCAGAAGCGUAUAUUAAAGUUGUUGCAGUUAAAAAGCUCGUAGUUGAAUGUCUGGUUUUUUAAGGCCGUAUCGGUCCGGGGAGUUCUCGCAAGAGGCUCCGUUUGUGUAUCGAUGUUUUUUUUGGUCUGCCAUUAUGUCGGGUACGCCUCGCGCAAGUGCGGUGUGCUUGAUUGUUUACUUUGAAAAAAUUAGAGUGUUUAAAGCAGGACAUUUUUUACGUGUCCAUUGAAUACAUUAGCAUGGAAUAAUGAGAUAGGACUCUGGUCUUAUUUUGUUGGUUUCUAAGACUCGAGUAAUGAUUGAUAGGGACGGUUGGGGGUGCUAGUAUUCAACGGCCAGAGGUGAAAUUCAUGGAUUCGUUGAAGACUAACUAAAGCGAAAGCAUUCACCAAGGA